rnacentral:ncRNA from 2 species
UAAGGUAGCCAAAUGCCUCGU